rnacentral:rRNA from 1 species
UAGCCGUAGGGAAAUUUCCGAGUCUGAAUAGGGCGUGGAGUCGCAUGAUGUAGACCCGAAGCGGGGUGAUCUACGCUUGGCCAGGUUGAGGCACGUGUAGAAGCGUGUGGAGGACCGAACCCACCUGGGUUGAAAACCGGGGGGAUGAGCUGAGUGUAGGGGUGAAAGGCUAAUCAAACUCCGUGAUAGCUGGUUCUCCCCGAAAUGCAUUUAGGUGCAGCGUCGCGUGUUUCUUGGUGGUGGUAGAGCUACUGGUUGACUAAUGGGCUGUUUUGGUUACUGAGGUCUGCCAAACUCCGAAUGCCGUUCAAGUUAAGCGUGGCAGUGAGACUGUGGGGGAUAAGCUCCAUUGUCAAAAGGGAAACAGCCCAGAUCGUCGACUAAGGCCCCUAAGCGUGCGCUGAGUGGGAAAGGAUGUGGAGUCGCGUAGACAACCAGGAGGUUGGCUUAGAAGCAGCCAUCCUUGAAAGAGUGCGUAAUAGCUCACUGGUCAAGUGGUUCCGCGCCGAUAAUGUAGCGGGGCUUAAGCGUACCGCCGAAGUCGCGGCAUCAGCAUAUUGCACGGCACAUGGUAUGUGUGUUAGUGGUGUUGUUGGGUAGGGGAGCGUCCUGCCAGAGUUGAAGUCCGGGGGUGAUCUCGGGUGGAUUUGGUGGGAGUGAGAAUGCAGGCAUGAGUAGCGAGUGGAAAGUGAGAAUCUUUCCCGCUGGAUGACUAAGGGUUCCAGGGCUAGGUUUGUCCGCCCUGGGUGAGUCGGGUCCUAAGGCGAGGCCGUCAGGCGUAGUCGAUGGAUAACCGGUUGAUAUUCCGGUACCGGCGAAGGACCGACCGUGACGAGGGGACAUGUGCUAACCGAUGCUGUUGGCCUCGUAUGCUUUCGGGUGUGUGGGGUUUGAUGGUCUUGGGGUCCCGUGUUUUAGUAGUCAAGCGUGUUAACAGGGGUGACGCAGUGAGGUAGCUGGCGCGUGUCUUAUGGCUUGGCGCGUCUAAGAGUGUGGCCUGGUUCCUAGGUAAAUCCGGGGACUGUAAGGGUGAGGCUUGAUGGUGAGACCGUUUGGUUGAAGUUCAGUGAUCCUGUACUGUCGAGAAAAGCCUCGACGUUAGGUUUUAGCCGCCCGUACCCUAAACCGACACUGGUAGUCAGGUAGAGAAUACUAAAGCGGACGGGUUAAUCAUGGUUAAGGAACUCGGCAAAAUACCCCCGUAACUUUGGGAGAAGGGGGACCAUCCUGGUGACCGUGCCUCGCGUGCGUGAGCUGGUGGUGGUUGCAAUAGCAAGAGGGACGCGACUGUUUAUCAAAAACACAGGUGCAUGCUAAGCCGUGAGGCGCUGUAUAUGCACUGACGCCUGCCCGGUGCUGGAAGGUUAAGAGGAACUGUUAGCUUUGGCGAAGCGGUGAAUUUAAGCCCCAGUAAACGGCGGUGGUAACUAUAACCAUCCUAAGGUAGCGAAAUUCCUUGUCGGGUAAGUUCCGACCUGCACGAAUGGCGUA